rnacentral:rRNA from 2 species
UGUGCCUACAAUCCGUCAGAGCCUCCUUGUGGGGUGAUGGCGUGCCUUUUGAAGAAUGAGCCUGCGAGUCAGGGACAUGUCGCAAGGUUAACCCGUGUGGGGUAGCCGCAGCGAAAGCGAGUCUGAAUAGGGCGCUUGAGUGGCAUGUUCUGGACCCGAAGCGGAGUGAUCUACCCAUGGCCAGGGUGAAGCGCGGGUAAGACCGCGUGGAGG